rnacentral:rRNA from 1 species
CCUACGGGGGGCAGCAGUGGGGAAUAUUGCACAAUGGGGGAAACUCUGAUGCAGCGACGCCGCGUGAGUGAAGAAGUAUCUCGGUACGUAAAGCUCUAUCAGCAGGGAAGAUAAUGACGGUACCUGACCAAGAAGCCCCGGCUAACUACGUGCCAGCAGCCGCGGUAAUACGUAGGGGGCCAGCGUUAUCCGGAUGUACUGGGCGUAAAGGGAGCGUAGGCGGCAGAACAAGUCUGGAGUGAAAUCCCGGGGCUUAACCCCGGAACUGCUUUGGAAACUGUGCGGCUGGAGUGCAGGAGGGGUAAGCGGAAUGCCUGGGGUAGCGGUGAAAGGCGUAGAGAUUAGGAGGAACACCGGUGGCGAAGGCGGCUUACUGGACUGUAACUGACGUUGAGGCUCGAAAGCGUGGGGAGCAAACAGGAUUAGAUACCCCGGUAGUC